AGCCCGCUCAGAAACUUAAAGGAAUUGACGGGGGCCCGCACAAGCGGUGGAGCAUGUGGUUUAAUUCGAAGCAACGCGAAGAACCUUACCAAGACUUGACAUCCCCUGACAGCUGUUGAAAGGCAGUGUCUCUUCGGAGCAGGGAGACAGGUGGUGCAUGGUUGUCGUCAGCUCGUGUCGUGAGAUGUUGGGUUAAGUCCCGCAACGAGCGCAACCCUUAUCCUUAGUUACCAGCACGUAAAGGUGGGGACUCUAGGGAGACCGCCGGGGACGACUCGGAGGAAGGUGGGGACGACGUCAAAUCAUCAUGCCCCUUAUGUCUUGGGCUACACACGUGCUACAAUGGCCGCAACAGAGGGAAGCGAGAGCGCAAGCUGGAGCAAAACCCUAAAAAGCGGUCCCAGUUCGGAUUGUGGGCUGCAACCCGCCCACAUGAAGUCGGAGUUGCUAGUAAUCGCGAAUCAGCAUGUCGCGGUGAAUGCGUUCCCGGGCCUU
rnacentral:rRNA from 1 species